rnacentral:misc_RNA from 1 species
AACUGAUACUACCUGCGGGAACCUGCGGAGGGAUCAUUAGAGGAGAGAUUGGGGUUUGGAUCGAAUUGAUUCUGGUUUGACUCGUCGAGGUUGACUCGUUGAGGUUGACUCUUGAUUCAAACACAUUUACGCGUGUGGGGUGUGGCCGAGUAACAUGAUAUAGCAAUGACAACUUUUAACAAUGGAUCUCU